rnacentral:rRNA from 1 species
CAAUAGCGUAUAUUUAAGUUGUUGCAGUUAAAAAGCUCGUAGUUGGAUUUCGGGUGGGACGCAGCGGUCUCGCAUUGCGUUUGUACUGCUGCAGCCCUCCUUCUUGCCGGGGGCGGCCUCUCGGACUUCACUGUCUGGGGGUCAGAAUCGGCGAUGUUACUUUGAGUAAAUUAGAGUGUUCAAAGCAAGCUUACGCUCUGAAUAUAAUAGCAUGGGAUAACACGACAGGACUCUGGCCUAUCGUGUUGGUCUAUAGGACCAGAGUAAUGAUUAAGAGGGACAGUCGGGGGCAUUCGUAUUCCGUUGGCAGAGGUGAAAUUCUUGGAUUUACGGAAGACGAACAUCUGCGAAAGCAUUUGCCAAGGAUGUUUNCAUUGA